UACGUAGGGGGCAAGCGUUAUCCGGAAUCAUUGGGCGUAAAGCGCGUGUAGGCGGUCCGGUACGUCCGCUGUGAAAGUCGGGGGCUUAACCCUCGGAUGCCGGUGGAUACUGUCGGGCUUGAGUACGGAAGAGGCGAGUGGAAUUCCUGGUGUAGCGGUGAAAUGCGCAGAUAUCAGGAGGAACACCAAUUGCGAAGGCAGCUCGCUGGGACGUUACUGACGCUGAGACGCGAAAGCGUGGGGAGCAAACAGG
rnacentral:rRNA from 1 species